GUGCAGACUCGGGGAUCGGCUGGGAAAGCCUGCAGCGCGGGCUGCCGCCGCUGUGCCCCUUCGCGCGCCGCUGGGCGGGUUCCGCUGCAGUGACUUCAGGAGAUUCUGAGAGAGCCAGCGUCCUCUUUUUAAGAAGAAUGCUUCUAGAAAGGGCCUGGAAGGAGAAGAAAUUGAACGAAUACCGACACCAAAUGUUAUGUCACUUUGCAUUAGUUCAAGGCGGAAGUAAAAGUAAACUUUUGGGGUCACUCACCCGGGGUGACCACUGUCUUAACUGAUGAGGUGAUAGCAGACACCUUUUCUUAAUUCAAGCCAAGGGAGUAAAAAUAAAACAUUGCGGUCCUUCACCUGAGAUUACCCGAAUUUCCUUCUUGGGUCACCCACUUUUUCUGAUAUUCGUGAUGUCACCAGGGAAAUCACCUGACCAAAAAAGACCCCGUAGAAGCUUAUCUACCAGCAAAACUACAAAGAGCCAAUCUCAUUCGAUUAUUUCGUAUUUUAACAAUGCGCCACCUGCUAAACUUGCAUGUUCAAUUUGUCAUAAAAUGGUGCCUAGGUACGACCUAAUUCGGCAUCUCGAUGAGUCCUGUGCAAACAAUGGUGAUGUCGUUCAGGUUGAGCCUGUGCAGGCUGGUUUAACAAAUCCAACGGUGCCCAGGUCAAAUUUACCCAGUAUUGCUUUAGAAGACGUAACACCUCAGAAGUUGUCACCACCAAAGAGAAGUUUAACUCCCGUCAAAGGUGGUUCAAAACUAGGCACACAACAGCAGACCAGUCCCUACUUUAAAGAUGCUUCGGUGUGCAGAAUUCAAAACGAGCUGCAAAAUCAGAAUGUGGAAAUUAUGUCUCUGGGGAGUCUGUCGUCUAAAUUGUCCAGAAAAUACAUAAAAGUUAAGAAAUCCCCGGAUAGGAAGGAGAGACUAGCCAGUCAUUGUCCACAGAGUUCUCCGUCCACAGCUGGCACCAGCCUGGUUGAUGUAUGUUCAGAGACGGAGGACAAAGAUGAGGUUUUGAACAGUUUUCAAAAGGAAAACAUGUUUUCUUGUGCAUCGCUAAAGGGAGAGAAUGCUUCAGAACACAAGGUAGAGCGCAGUAAAAUCACAGAAGAUGAAAGCUGGGAAGCUUCCCGCGGGGAGUCAGCCCUCACCCCUGCAUCUUCAGCUCCUGCUCCUGCAUUGUGUUCAUUAGAUUUAACUCUUGCGAAUAACAUGAAGUCUGCUCCAGGAGACAGUCUUGUAAAGCAAGAGGAUGCCAGAGAGGACGGUGCGGGGGUUGCUAAACAGCUCGAGGCGUGCGGCCGUGAAGAGGUAGAAAUGACUGUCGAUGCCGAGGUUCAAACGCCAGUGUCUGGUCACGAGGUGGAAUCCAACAGUCGCGUGGACGCUUCUACAGAGAGUAACAGCCGAGAGAGACCAAAGAUUUACAGCGCCCUGAAGCAGGGAUCCAGUUGUGAGGUUCCCAGGGAGACAGCUCAGCCUCCCCUGAGCCACCCAUACUACCUGAGGAGCUUCCUGGUGGUGCUGCAGGCCAUCCUUGAGAACGAGGAGGACAUGAAACUCUUCGAUGAACAGGAGAAGGGCAUUAUAACCAAGUUUUACCAGUUGUCAGCUAGUGGUCAGAAGUUGUAUGUAAGGCUCUUUCAGCGUAAAUUAACCUGGAUCAAGAUGGGUAAACUGGAGUACGAAGAGAUUGCCUCAGACUUAACCCCCGUGGUUGAAGAAUUAAAAGAUGCGGGCUUCCUUCAGACAGAAUCUGAGUUGGAGGAACUCUCUGAUGUACUUGAACUCCUUUCUGCUCCUGAACUGAAAGCCCUGGCCAAAACCUUCCACGUGGUGAGCCCCGCUGGGCAGAAGCAGCAGCUGGUAGAUGCCUUUCUCAAGCUGGCCAGACAGCGCUCAGUCUGCACUUGGGGCAAGACUCAGUCCGGAAUCAGAGCAGUGAUUCUGAAAAGAGCUAAAGACUUGGCUGGACGGUCCCUGCGAGUCUGUAAAGGCCCCAGGGCCGUGUUUUCCCGGGUCUUGCUGCUGUUUUCCUUGACUGAUUCCAUGGAAGAUGAAGAAGCUGCUUGUGGGGGUCAAGGUCAGCUUUCUACGGUGCUGUUGGUCAACCUGGGCCGAAUGGAAUUUCCUCAGUGUACUGUCAGCCGGAAGACCCAGAUCUUCAGGGACAGAGAAGACCUCAUCAGAUAUGCAGCGGCCGCACACAUGCUGAGUGACCUUUCCGCUGCCAUGGCCAAUGGGAACUGGGAAGAAGCUAAGGAGCUUUCCCAGAGUGCAAAAAGAGACUGGGACCAACUGAAGAGCCACCCUUCGCUGAGGUACCACGAGGCCUUGCCGCUCUUCCUGCGCUGCUUUACUGUGGGCUGGAUUUACACGCGGAUUCUCUCCCGGGCUGUGGAAGUGUUGGAGAGACUUCGCCUGUAUGAGGAAGCCGUUGAGGAACUGGAAAAGCUCCUGUCUCAGAAAGUCUACUGUCCUGACAGCAGAGGGCGCUGGUGGGAUCGCCUGGCUCUUAACCUGCACCAGCACCUGAAGCGUCUGGAAGCGGUGCUCGGAGAGUGUCUCUGUGCCUCUGCAGGGCAUUUGGCCCCACCUCUGGAACAGGCCACCUUCGGCAGACCCCAGGGAUCUUGGGGACUUAAAAUAGAUCAAUUCUGUCACUGAUGUGGCUGGGCAGGGUGGGGCCUUUGAGGCCACCGCCUCUGAGCCAGGCUGGUAACAGUGACUCUUUGUGUGGCUGCCUGCGGCUUGGUCUCCAUUCCAGCCCUGUGUUUGAACUGAAUGGAGGGGACUGUGUCUCAGGGAGGGUUUGUUUUUCCAGUGCUACAUGAAGUGAAUCGGGGGAGAGAGGGGUGGAAAAAAUUGCCCACGGAAUGUGAGAGUAUGAGGUAGUGUUUUUGCUGCUUUUUGCUCAAACAGUGCCUUGUUACCUCAGGUGCCCGUGAAAAGGCCAGCAGAAGCUGUUUUCUGUCCUGGAGGUGGGCAGCGUGGUUGCAGGCCGAGAACCCAGCUUGGAAGGGAGAGCACAUGCGUCUGUGCUACCUCUGCCUUUCACUGCAUGAAUGUUAUGGAUUCCCCUGAUUCCCCCUUGUUCACAGUUCUUGGAACACUUGCCUGUGGUCACGGGGGCAGACAGAUCUCUCGACUUAGUUUUCAGUGAUGCUAAGGAAGUUGAGUUCUUUUUACCCUUUCCCAAUGACUCACUGCCAUACACACCGCGCUUGUUACUCUGUCCGCUCACCUCCUGUCUACAGGACACAAGCCGCCAGUAGCAAGUGCCAGCCCCUGGAGAGAGAUGGGGCCACCCUGGCCAUUCUUUCCUAUGCCCGGUCUCUGUUGCCUGGUGUCCCUGCAGGGGCAGAGAGAGCUGCAGUGUCCGGCACCCUUCCUGACUCCUUCAGAUCCACUUAGCUCCUCAAGGCUUGAGCUUUCAUCCAUUCCUAUUCUUUUAAAAAGUUUUUCUUUAAAUUGUUAAAGUAUAGUGUGUGUGUGUGUGUGUGUGUGUGUGUGUGUGUGUGUGUGUGUGUGUGUGUAUGUGAGUGCCGCAGCAUGCAUGUGGAGCUCAGGGAGAAAACCUCAGGCUCACUACAGCCCUUGAGCUCAGGGGAUUCUCCUGUGUCCCCUCCCAUCUUGGGGGGAGAUGCUAGGAUGGCAGAUGAAUGGUUGCUGCUGUGCCCUGCUCUCCAGGGGUUCUGAGGAGGCGAACUCAAGGCCUUACCCUUGUGCAGCGGGUGUUUACCCUCGGAGCCCUCUCUCCAGCCCCUCCUGAUCGAUGCGAACGAAGUCUGACUCUUUCUAACCUUUUCCCAGCCAUCUCCCUGGCCACCCUCAGAGCCCAGUGUCCUGGCUAGUUUGACUUGGUGGUUGCUUCCAAGUUCCAUCGUAUUCCAGCGUGUCGUAAUUCAUUUGUUUGUCACGGACGAAUGAUGCAUGUGUUCAUUUGUCCAGUCACCUGUAAAUGGGUGCCCGAGUUUCCGCCGCCAUCUGGGUAUUGUGAAUACUGCUGCCAUGGAUAUGGGCACGCAGUACUUCCUGAGUGUCUGUUUUUAAUUCUUUAGGGGUGUACCUAGGGAAGAAUCUGCUAGCUCUUGCGGCAAUUUUACGUUUGGCUCUUUAAAAAGCUGCCAAACUGUUGUUCACAGUGUUUCCUCCAUUUUUAUAUUCCCACCAGUAAGACAGGAGGGCUCUGGUUUUUCCACAUCCCAACCAACACUGGUUAUUUUUCUACUUUUCUGAGCAUGUUCAUCUUGGUAGAUGAGGAAUGAUUUCUUUCUGGAGCUUUUGUAUUUAUGCUCAACUUUGAAGAACCUUAGAAAAUAGGGACAGUGGGUUCCUCUCCCUGCGAGCAGGGAAUCUCGCUCAGCUCUGUGGUCCUGCCUCCGUGUGAGAAUCACUGUGUAAGUUGCUUUGGAGACCCCUGCUCUGUUGGUGAGGUGGGGCAUGUGUGACUUUCACAGCUUUCCUGGUGGUUUCCUGAGAACUGCGGGGCAAUGCCUUCCAGUAAAGUCUCCCUUAGCCUGUGACUUGAGCGUCUCUAAGGUCAUGGUCUCUGAGGAGGUAGCUGCUGGGACCCUCUCAUCAGUGGGGUCAUUAGGAUCAGAGCCUGGGUGCUGACACCACUAACAAGCUAGGCUUUGUCCUCAUGGGCCAUUUGCCGAGAUAAGUAGUGGCAAAAAGCAUUCUCUGCCUUCUGUACUCUGUGUAGCCAAAAUGGGAAAGGAACAAAUACAGAGGUCCUGUGACACACACACACACACACACACACCUGUGCCGCCCCCAGUCCAUCUUCAGGAUCCUGGCAUGAGGUUUGGGUUUAACAGAGGACAGAGAGCCUUGGCGCUACCUUGGAGACAGCAGCACCGUGUUGGCUUUGGUGGCCAAUCAGUCAGAAGAGCUCAGCCCCAAUCAUGACAUGGUCAUUGAGACCCCAGAAAAGGGACAGUGAGAAAGAAGCAUUUGAACUAACUGAAGUACCUGAAAUAGACUUAAUGAAUAAGUCAGUGAGGAGAUGUUGAGGGCAGAACAGAAAUAGAACAAACUUUGCCAACCAUUCUUUCAGAAGAAGUCAUACUUGAUGGGCCAAAUCCCAGACCCCUCCCACCCCACCCCGCCUCCUGUUGUCAGCUGUCUGCGAGGAUCUGCACUGCUUGGGGACGAGGGUGGAGUGGCACUGAGCAGACAAGAGACAGAAUCCAAAGGGGGCGGUUUUUAUUUGGCCGAGAACCCUUAAGUUCUCUCCAGAGAGUUCCAUCCAAGUGAGGGUGGUGAUCUGAUGCCGGAGACCACUGAAAUCGAGUGGAAACUCAGAGGAUCUGACAGAGCACCCAAGUUAAAUCCGGAGUGUGGCCCGCAGAGAGGCAGCGGGAAGGACCAGAGGUUUUCCUCCCAGGUUUACUGACUGUUCUCCGCAGGUGCAAAGACUAGGAGAGGUCGUCAGAGGCAAUUAGGUGCAUCAGCGCAGGCCUGGCAGAUCCAGCAGUGCGGACAGGACACCGACUUUCACUCUAUCAGCGAGCUGUGCGCCUGCGAGAGUCUCCCAGCUGCAAAAAAUACAAGCGCCUCUUCAGCCAGCUGCC